GUCUAUGGCCAUACUAUCCUGAACACACCUGAUCUUGUCUGAUAUCAGAAGCCAAGCAGGAUUGGGCCUGGUUAGUACUUGGAUGGGAGCCUGUGGCUCUGGCUGCACAGACU
ensembl:rRNA 5S_rRNA 5S ribosomal RNA